GGUUUGGAUGGGCCUGGGGCUCCGGCUGCGGUAGCAGCAGCUAGGAGCCCUGGACCCUUUAAAUCACUGCCGGAGCCCCAUGGUAGCAGUAGCUGCAGCGGCAGCCAGGGGCCCCAGGG